GACGAACGCUGGCGGCGUGCUUAACACAUGCAAGUCGAACGGAGUGGCGAACGGGUGAGUAACACGUUGGUGACCUGCCCUGCACUUCGGGAUAAGCCUGGGAAAAUGGGUCUAAUACCGGUUCGUGUGGGAUGGGUCCGCGGCCUAUCGGCUGGUUGGUGGGGUAAUGGCGUACCAAGGCGGCGUCGGGUAGCCGGCCUGGGAGGGGAGACGGCCGCAUGGGGACUGAGGGAGGGCCCAGACGCCUACGGGAGGCAGCAGUGGGGAAUAUUGCACAAUGGGCGGAAGCCUGAUGCAGCGACGCCGCGUGGGGGAUGACGGCCUUCGGGGUGUAAACUCCUUUCACCAUCGACGCGGUAGAUGGAGAAGAAGCACCGGCUAACUACGUGCCAGCAGCCGCGGUAAUUC
rnacentral:rRNA from 1 species